rnacentral:rRNA from 1 species
GUUGUAUGGUUAAGUGACUAAGCGUACACGGUGGAUGCCUUGGCAGUCAGAGGCGAUGAAAGACGUAGUAACUUGCGAUAAGCCCAGAUUAGGUAGUAACAACCAUUUGAGUCUGGGAUUUCUGAAUGGGGAAACCCACGUGCAUAAGCACGUAUCCUUACCUGAAUACAUAGGGUAAGGAGGCGAACCGGGGGAACUGAAACAUCUAAGUACCCCGAGGAAAAGAAAUCAACCGAGAUUCCGAAAGUAGCGGCGAGCGAAAUUGGACUAGCCCUUAAGCUUUACACGCGUUAGACGAACGGUCUGGAAAGUCCGACGAUACAGGGUGAUAGUCCCGUAGUUGACGACGUGUGUUCAGUGAAAUCGAGUAGGGCGGGACACGUGAUAUCCUGUCUGAAUAUGGGGGGACCAUCCUCCAAGGCUAAAUACUACUGACUGACCGAUAGUGAACCAGUACCGUGAGGGAAAGGCGAAAAGAACCCCUGUGAGGGGAGUGAAAUAGAACCUGAAACCGUGUACGUACAAGCAGUAGGAGCAGGCUUGUCCUGUGACUGCGUACCUUUUGUAUAAUGGGUCAGCGACUUAUAUUCAGUGGCAAGGUUAACCAUCUAGGGGAGCCGUAGGGAAACCGAGUCUUAACUGGGCGUUCAGUCUCUGGAUAUAGACCCGAAACCAGGUGAUCUAGCCAUGGGCAGGUUGAAGGUUGAGUAACAUCAACUGGAGGACCGAACCGACUAAUGUUGAAAAAUUAGCGGAUGACUUGUGGCUAGGGGUGAAAGGCCAAUCAAACCUGGAGAUAGCUGGUUCUCCCCGAAAGCUAUUUAGGUAGCGCCUCGGACGAAUACUACUGGGGGUAGAGCACUGUUAAGGCUAGGGGGUCAUCCCGACUUACCAACCCUUUGCAAACUCCGAAUACCAGUAAGUACUAUCCGGGAGACACACGGCGGGUGCUAACGUCCGUCGUGGAGAGGGAAACAACCCAGACCGCCAGCUAAGGUCCCAAAUUACUACUAAGUGGGAAACGAUGUGGGAAGGCUCAGACAGCCAGGAUGUUGGCUUAGAAGCAGCCAUCAUUUAAAGAAAGCGUAAUAGCUCACUGGUCGAGUCGGCCUGCGCGGAAGAUGUAACGGGGCUAAGUAGUAAACCGAAGCUGCGGCAAUAUACUUUUGUAUAUUGGGUAGGGGAGCGUUCUGUAAGCGGUUGAAGGUGUGUGGUAACGCAUGCUGGACGUAUCAGAAGUGCGAAUGCUGACAUGAGUAACGAUAAAGGGGGUGAAAAACCUCCUCGCCGGAAGACCAAGGGUUCCUGUCCAACGUUAAUCGGGGCAGGGUAAGUCGACCCCUAAGGCGAGGCCGAAAGGCGUAGUCGAUGGGAAACGGGUUAAUAUUCCCGUACUUCUUACAAUUGCGAUGGGGGGACGGAGAAGGCUAGGUGGGCCUGGCGACGGUUGUCCAGGUUCAAGUGCGUAGGCUUAAGAGUUAGGUAAAUCCGGCUCUUUUUAAGGCUGAGACACGACGUCGAGCACCUACGGGUGUGAAGUCAUUGAUGCCAUGCUUCCAGGAAAAGCCUCUAAGCUUCAGAUUGUAAGGAAUCGUACCCCAAACCGACACAGGUGGUCGGGUAGAGAAUACCAAGGCGCUUGAGAGAACUCGGGUGAAGGAACUAGGCAAAAUGGUACCGUAACUUCGGGAGAAGGUACGCUCUCGACGGUGAAGUCCCUUGCGGAUGGAGCUAUUGAGAGUCGCAGAUACCAGGUGGCUGCAACUGUUUAUUAAAAACACAGCACUGUGCAAAAUCGUAAGAUGACGUAUACGGUGUGACGCCUGCCCGGUGCCGGAAGGUUAAUUGAUGGGGUUAGACUUCGGUCGAAGCUCUUGAUCGAAGCCCCGGUAAACGGCGGCCGUAACUAUAACGGUCCUAAGGUAGCGAAAUUCCUUGUCGGGUAAGUUCCGACCUGCACGAAUGGCGUAAUGAUGGCCACGCUGUCUCCACCCGAGACUCAGUGAAAUUGAAAUCGCUGUGAAGAUGCAGUGUACCCGCGGCUAGACGGAAAGACCCCGUGAACCUUUACUACAGCUUGGCACUGAACAUUGACCCUACAUGUGUAGGAUAGGUGGGAGGCUUUGAAGCACGUACGCCAGUAUGUGUGGAGCCGUCCUUGAAAUACCACCCUUGUAGUGUUGAUGUUCUAACGUCGACCCCUAAUCGGGGUUGCGGACAGUGCCUGGUGGGUAGUUUGACUGGGGCGGUCUCCUCCCAAAGAGUAACGGAGGAGCACGAAGGUGGGCUAAUCACGGUUGGACAUCGUGAGGUUAGUGCAAUGGCAUAAGCCCGCUUGACUGCGAGAAUGACAAUUCGAGCAGGUGCGAAAGCAGGUCAUAGUGAUCCGGUGGUUCUGAAUGGAAGGGCCAUCGCUCAACGGAUAAAAGGUACUCCGGGGAUAACAGGCUGAUACCGCCCAAGAGUUCAUAUCGACGGCGGUGUUUGGCACCUCGAUGUCGGCUCAUCACAUCCUGGGGCUGAAGUCGGUCCCAAGGGUAUGGCUGUUCGCCAUUUAAAGUGGUACGCGAGCUGGGUUUAGAACGUCGUGAGACAGUUCGGUCCCUAUCUGCCGUGGGCGUUGGAAGAUUGAAGGGGGCUGCUCCUAGUACGAGAGGACCGGAGUGGACGAACCUCUGGUGUUCGGGUUGUGUCGCCAGACGCAUUGCCCGGUAGCUAAGUUCGGAAUCGAUAACCGCUGAAAGCAUCUAAGCGGGAAGCGAGCCCUGAGAUGAGUCUUCCCUGAUACUUUAAGUAUCCUAAAGGGUUGUCGGAGACUACGACGUUGAUAGGUCAGGUGUGUAAGUGCUGUGAGGCAUUGAGCUAACUGAUACUAAUUGCCCGUGAGGCUUAACCAUACAACACCCAAGGGGUUU